GCAGGCUCAGUUUCUCUGAGAGACCAGAGACCUUUGAAGGACCCUCUGGCCUAGGACACCAUGAUGCAACGGGCUUUGUUCAGCAGGAGCGUGCUGCUCGCUCAGCAGGCUGCAGCGGCUCUGGACAGCCCGCUGGUCGGGAAGAGCGCAUCUGUAAUGCAGCGCAUGGAUCACCGCUCCAUGUCCUCGGUCACCAUCCCGCCGCCAGCGUGCAUGCUCCGGCCGCUUGAAGUUCCCAUGCGUUAUCUGUUCGGACCGGGACCCUCAAAUGUUCCUCCACGAGUUUUGGCCUCGGGUUCCAGGCCAAUUAUUGGUCACCUGCAUCCAGAAAUGUAUGAGAUCAUGAACGACAUCAAGAAGGGGAUCCAGUACGCAUUCCAGACGGAAAAUAACAUGACGAUAGCAAUGAGUGGCUCCGGCCACGCUGCCAUGGAGUGUGCGGUGUUCAACGUGGUGGAGCCUGGAGAGAGUGUCCUGGUGGCGGUCAACGGUAUCUGGGGAGAGCGAGUGGCGGAAAUUGCUGAACGGAUGGGUGCUAAUGUACACACAAUAGUGAAAGCGCCUGGAGGAUAUUAUACCAAGGAAGAAAUUGAACAAGCUAUUGAGAAACACAAGCCUGUCUUGUUUUUCCUCACACAUGGAGAGUCCUCUGCUGGCCUCUGUCACCCAGUAGAUGGCAUUGGAGACAUCUGUAGAAAAAAUAACUGCCUCUUCCUGGUCGACACAGUUGCAUCACUUGGAGCAGCACCAAUUUUUAUGGACAAACAAAAAAUUGACAUCCUGUACACUGGUUCUCAGAAGGCACUAAAUGCACCUCCUGGCACAGCACCCAUCUCUUUUAAUGACAGAGCAUGCUACAAGAUGUUUAACAGAAAAACAAAACCAAUAUCCUACCUCUUUGACAUGACACAUCUGUCCAACUACUGGGGCUGCGAUGGAAAUACAGUCAGAGCAUAUCAUCAUACUGGGCCGGUGUCUGGAUUUUUCGCCCUGAGGGAAAGUUUAGCGAUUCUCGCCGAAAAGGGGUUGGAAGAGUCUUGGAGGAAACACAAAGAGGUAGCAGCCUACCUGUACAAAGGGCUGGAGGAUCUUGGUCUCAAGCUUUUUAUCCCUGAUAGGGUGAGGAUUUGAGGCUUCCCUCCGUUACCACGAUAGCAAUCCCUGAAGGUUACGACUGGAGGGAGAUGCUGGGCUACAUAAUGAAACACCACCAGAUGGAAAUGACAGGAGGACUGGGGCCUUCUAUCGGCAUGGUGAUGAGGAUCGGAUUAAUGGGAUACAACUGUGAAAAGACUAAUGCUGACAAAGCACUUCAUGCCCUGGCAGAUGCUCUGAAGAACUGCAAAAAGAGCAAGGCUUAAAAGCUCACAUUCCCAGAGUGCUGACUGUAUGUCCAUCCAUCAAUUAAACAACAAGUGUCUCCUCGUGGAAGACAGAUGAUAUAAUGUGAAAAAAUAUAUAAUUUUUUGUGGUUUUCUCCACAAGGAUUUUAGAUUAGUCCUAUUGUAUAAAUUGGUAAAGUAGUUGUAGUUUUAAAAAUAAAAGUAUUGAUAUUGUCAUAUGACUCAUGCUGAGUGCACUUACAAUGUCAAUAAAGACAUUAUUUUAUCAAA